rnacentral:rRNA from 1 species
CCUGGCUCAGGAUGAACGCUAGCGGCAGGCUUAACACAUGCAAGUCGAGGGGUAUAAGUCUUCGGAGAUAGAGACCGGCGCACGGGUGCGUAACGCGUAUGCAAUCUACCUUUUACAGAGGGAUAGCCCAGAGAAAUUUGGAUUAAUACCUCAUAGUAUUAUGAAAUGGCAUCAUUUUAUAAUUAAAGUCACAACGGUAAAAGAUGAGCAUGCGUCCCAUUAGCUAGUUGGUAAGGUAACGGCUUACCAAGGCUACGAUGGGUAGGGGUCCUGAGAGGGAGAUCCCCCACACUGGUACUGAGACACGGACCAGACUCCUACGGGAGGCAGCAGUGAGGAAUAUUGGACAAUGGGCGCAAGCCUGAUCCAGCCAUGCCGCGUGCAGGAUGACGGUCCUAUGGAUUGUAAACUGCUUUUAUACGAGAAGAAACACUGCUUCGNGAAGCAGCUUGACGGUAUCGUAAGAAUAAGGAUCGGCUAACUCCGUGCCAGCAGCCGCGGUAAUACGGAGGAUCCAAGCGUUAUCCGGAAUCAUUGGGUUUAAAGGGUCCGUAGGCGGUUUGGUAAGUCAGUGGUGAAAGCCCAUCGCUCAACGGUGGAACGGCCAUUGAUACUGCCAGACUUGAAUUAUUAGGAAGUAACUAGAAUAUGUAGUGUAGCGGUGAAAUGCUUAGAGAUUACAUGGAAUACCAAUUGCGAAGGCAGGUUACUACUAAUGGAUUGACGCUGAUGGACGAAAGCGUGGGUAGCGAACAGGAUUAGAUACCCUGGUAGUCCACGCCGUAAACGAUGGAUACUAGCUGUGGAAGCAAUUUCAGUGGCUAAGCGAAAGUGAUA